UUCUUAACUUACACAUGCAAGUCUCAGCACUCCAGUGAAAACGCCCUUUAAACCUAUAAAAGGAUAAGGAGCUGGCAUCAGGCACAGAAUCCUUGCCCAUAACGCCUAGUUUCACCACCCCUCCAAAGGUAGUCAGCAGUGAUCAACAUUGUCCAUAGGCGAAAGCCCGAGUCAGUUAAAGAAAAGAGGGUUGGCCAACCCGGUGCCAGCCGCCGCGGCCAUACCGGUGGACUCAAGUUAAUAUCAACCGGCGUAAAGCGUGAUUAAAGAAUUACUAAAUUAGAGUUGAAGUGUGGUUUAGCUGUUGAACGCUUACCUAAUAGAACCCCAAAAACGAAAGUUACUCUAAUUAACCUCUUGAAUACACGACAGUUUGGGCACAAACUGGGAUUAGAUACCCCACUAUGCCACACCGUAAAUUUGAACUACACUUAAAACGCCAGGGUACUACGAGCCGAGCUUAAAACCCAAAGGAUUUGACGGUGUUCCACCCUACUAGAGGAGCUUGUUCUAUAAUCGAUGAUCCACGAUAUACCUAACCAUUUUUUGCUAUUCAGCCUGUAUACCUCCGUCGUAAGCUCACCGCUUGAGUGAGAAAAAGUAAGCAAAAGGACCUAAAGCCAAAACGUCAGGUCAAGGUGCAGCUUAUAAAAUGGAAGAAAUGGGCUACAAUUUCUAAUUUAGAAUACACGAAUUACUGCAUGAAACAAAGUCAUGAAGGUGGAUUUAGUAGUAAGUGAGGAAUAGAGAGCCUCACUUAAUUCAGCCCUGGAACGCGUACAAACCGCCCGUCACCCUCUUCGAUAGCUUCAUUAAUAGUUAAAUAACCUAUUCACCGCGUUUUAGAAGAGGCAAGUCGUAACAUGGUAAGCAUACUGGAAAGUGUUCUUGGAAUAA
rnacentral:ncRNA from 1 species